UGCAUGGCCCGUCGCCAGCUCGUGCCGUGAGAUGUCCUGUUAAGUCAGGUAACGAGCGAGAUCCCCUGCCNCUAGUUGCUAUCAUUAUUCUCAGGAAUAGUGGAGCGAAUUAGUGGGACUGCCGUUGUUAAAACGGAGGAAGGAAGGGGCUACGGCAGGUCAGUAUGCCCCGAAACUCUGGGGCCACACGCGGGCUGCAAUGGUAGUGACAAUGAGUUCCAAACUCGAAAGAGAGUGGCAAUCUCUAAACGCUACCACAGUUAUGACUGAGGGCUGUAACUCGCCCUCACGAAUAUGGAAUCCCUAGUAACCGCGUGUCAUUACCGCGCGGUGAAUACGUCCCUGCUCCUUGCACACACCGCCCGUCGUUUCAUCGAAGUUUGCUUUAGC
rnacentral:rRNA from 1 species